AGAGUCUGGUAAACAAGACAGAGGGCUUAAAAGCUUUUUCCAGGAAGGGUUUUCCCACCACGGAAAGUGUUUUUAAGCCCUCUUCCUUGCUUACCAGACUCU